rnacentral:lncRNA from 1 species
AAGGCCAUCGCCUGGUCCCCACAUCAGCACGGGCUGCUGGCCUCGGGGGGCGGCACAGCUGACCGCUGUAUCCGCUUCUGGAACACGCUGACAGGACAACCACUGCAGUGUAUCGACACGGGCUCCCAAGUGUGCAAUCUGGCCUGGUCCAAGCACGCCAACGAGCUGGUGAGCACGCACGGCUACUCACAGAACCAGAUCCUUGUCUGGAAGUACCCCUCCCUGACCCAGGUGGCCAAGCUGACCGGGCACUCCUACCGCGUGCUGUACCUGGGAGGAUGGUGUGCAGAUCUAAAACCCCGUGGGACCCAGCAGCAGGGGCCGGCAGGGCAUCUGGUGCUGGUUGUGUUGCCAGCGUUGGAAUGGGCUCUACCGAACUCCCCAGCCCUGCAGGUGCAGGCCCUGUCCUCCUGGAGGACCUUAGCUUCUUCAUUUGUUUAUUUUCCCCAUAAAGAGGGGUGAAGAGGAAAGCCAAAACCAACUCACAGCUGACCACUCAGAUGACCCUGUGAACGUCCUACACAGUAACUGUAUG